rnacentral:misc_RNA from 1 species
AGCAGCCGCGGUAAUUCCAGCUCCAAUAGCGUAUAUUAAAGUUGUUGCAGUUAAAAAGCUCGUAGUUGAAUUUCGGGAUCAAAGGAUCGGUCAUGCCUUGGUAUGUACUGGUUUUAUUGGUUCUCACCUUCUAAAGAACCAUAAUGUCAUUCAUUUGAUGUUAUGGGGAAUUAGGACUGUUACCUUGAAAAAGUUAGAGUGUUUAAAGCAGGCUUACGCUUGAAUACAUUAGCAUGGAAUAAUGAAAUAGGACAUCAGAUUCUAUUUUGUUGGUUUCUAGGAUCGAUGUAAUGAUUAAUAGGGACAGUUGGGGGCAUUAGUAUUCAAUUGUCAGAGGUGAAAUUCUUGGAUUUAUUGAAGACUAACUACUGCGAAAGCAUUUGCCAAGGAUGUUUUCAUUAAUCAAGAACGAAAGUUAGGGGAUCGAAGACGAUCAGAUACCGUCGUAGUCUUAACCAUAAACUAUGCCGACUAGGGAUCGGAUGAUGUUAAUUUUUAAUGACUCAUUCC